UACGAAGGGGGCUAGCGUUGCUCGGAAUUACUGGGCGUAAAGGGCGCGUAGGCGGACAGUUUAGUCAGAGGUGAAAGCCCAGGGCUCAACCUUGGAAUUGCCUUUGAUACUGGCUGUCUUGAGUUCGGGAGAGGUGAGUGGAAUGCCGAGUGUAGAGGUGAAAUUCGUAGAUAUUCGGAGGAACACCAGUGGCGAAGGCGGCUCACUGGUCCAUUACUGACGCUGAGGUGCGAAAGUGUGGGGAGCAAACAGG
rnacentral:rRNA from 1 species